rnacentral:piRNA from 1 species
UCAAACUAUAUUGUUAAGAUGGCCUUGAGU